rnacentral:tRNA from 1 species
GGAUCAGUGGUGUACACGGUGUGCACGCCUGUCUGAAGAACAGGAGGUAUUCGUUCGAGUCGAAUCUGGUCCACAA